rnacentral:rRNA from 1 species
UACGAAGGGGGCUAGCGUUGUUCGGAAUCAUUGGGCGUAAAGGGCGCGUAGGCGGCGGGGUAAGUCUGGUGUGAAAUCUCGGAGCUCAACUCCGAAAUUGCACUGGAUACUGCUCUGCUAGAGGGCUGGAGAGGAGAUCGGAAUUCACGGUGUAGCAGUGAAAUGCGUAGAUAUCGUGAGGAAGACCAGUGGCGAAGGCGGAUCUCUGGACAGCUCCUGACGCUGAGGCGCGAAGGCUAGGGGAGCAAACGGG